rnacentral:misc_RNA from 1 species
GAAAUGCGAUACGUAAUGCGAAUUGCAGAAUUCAGUGAAUCAUCGAAUUUUUGAACGCAAAUUGCGCUUUCGGGAUAGGCCUGAAAGCAUGUUUCUUUGAGCCUCGUGUCUAACCCACCUCGGCUGCGUGCCGGAAAAUGGAAGUCUUGUUUCAUGGAACAAGUCUUUUUAAGAUCAUUGAGUCCAUGACUGCCCGCCUGGCAAUGAUUCUUUUGCUCAGCGGCGCGAUUGUAAGUGUAAACUUAAUCUCUCGUCGCUCUGUAGAUGAUUCAGAACUAUUUGGUUGGUCAGAUCAAGGAUGAUUCGGAAAACACUUUUGACUUAGAGCUCAAAUGAAGCAAGAUAACCCGCUGAACUUAA